GCCGGGUGCUGUGGCGCGUGCCUGUAAUCCAAGUUACCGGGAGGCUGAGACUGGUGGAUCGUUUGAGCUCAUGAUCUCUGAGCUACAGUGUACUAUGUCGAUCGGGUGUCCCAAUAAGUUCGUAUCGAUAUGGUGCUCCUGGGGGAGGCCGGGACCACCAGGUCGUCUAAGGAGGGGUGCACCGGCCCAGGUCGGAAACGGAGCAGGCCAAAGCCCCCGUGCCGCUCAGUAGUGGGAUCACGCCUGUGAAUAGAGGCUGUAGUGAAGCCUGAGUAAUACAGUGGGACCCAGUUCUUU
rnacentral:SRP_RNA from 1 species